CACGUAGUUAGCCGGUGCUUAUUCUUCAGGUACCGUCAUUAGCCGAAGGUAUUAACCUCAGCCGUUUCUUCCCUGACAAAAGAGCUUUACAACCCGAAGGCCUUCUUCACUCACGCGGCAUUGCUGGAUCAGGCUUGCGCCCAUUGCCCAAAAUUCCCCACUGCUGCCUCCCGUAGGAGUCUGGACCGUGUCUCAGUUCCAGUGUGGCUGGUCGUCCUCUCAGACCAGCUACUGAUCGUCGCCUUGGUGAGCCUUUACCCCACCAACUAGCUAAUCAGACAUCGGCCGCUCCAAAAGCCAUGACGGCCCGAAGGUCCCCACUUUCUCCGUAGAACGUAUGCGGUAUUAGCGCAACUUUCGCUGCGUUAUCCCCCUAUUCUGGGUACUUCCGAUGUACUUACUCACCGUUCGCCACUCGCCACCGAGGUCCGAACGCCCCGUGCCUACGUCCGUUCCGUACUUCGCCA
rnacentral:rRNA from 1 species